rnacentral:tRNA from 1 species
UCCUGCGAACGGGCCGCUUCCGACCCUGGCGCCUACGCUGCCGGCGGCCUUGGCCGCGUCCAGCAUUGGUGCGACACCAAUCGCAGAGGCC